rfam:Brassica napus, WGS project CCCW01000000 data, contig: 11015
UUUGGGAUAUGAUGACAAAAAUACGAAAUCUCUAAGGCUAAUGCUCUGCAGAUAAAAAUGUAUUUGCACGUCAGUCUGAUCCCAUU